rnacentral:lncRNA from 1 species
CAUAUGCAUCAGCGGCAUACCUGAACAAUCAGACAAGAAAUUCAAAUGAGUCAGAUCAGUUUGGAAAAACCAUCAAUGCAAAUAGCUAUAGGAGACAGCGAACUGAACAGAAAUUUCCCUACUUUCCAACACCAGGCAGAAAGGUGACAUGGGUCCAGUACUCUUGCAAGUAAAUCUCAGAAAGGCGUUUUAUCUUCUCAGCCCUCGUGUUUUUGAAACCUAAACUGCGUGUUAGCUGGGCAAUCUCGUUCUGGUCAACAUUAGUGGUGGUCUUUGCAUCAGGACAUAGGGUGAAGAAGUCGUUUAAAAUUGGUCUGACCUGCAAUGAGAAAUUUCUUUGGGAUUAUGUUUUUUCUAUGCUGAUUUCCAUUAAUAAAAACAAGUAAGGAUCUUACCUGGCCACCCGAUGUGCAGUUUAAUAGCAUACAAAUGACGAGAACUCUCCAAGGGUCAUGGUAAUGAUUCUCUUGAAGAAGCUCGUGAGGAGAUUUGGGCGGAAUCCAACGGUUGUUGGGUCGUCUCCUGAGGUAUGCCACAUCACGCAUUUGAGCAGCAGUGAGCCUGGGCGAUCUCUUCCUCUUCUUCUUCUGAGCUUCUUCUUCCCUUUCGACUUUCUUGAUGGAAGGUCGAGUGGAGGAGGCGGAGGAGGAAGCUUGCCCUGUCCCCCCUGAACAACCUGUAAACGCGAAUUCAGAAAACAACCCCAUCACACUAGCACUGACUUCUACCGGCCGUCCAUGACCACCUCCUGCUUUGCCAUCACACUCGAAAUCCUUCUUUUUCUUCUUACUUUCCCUUCUUCUCUUCUUUUCUGCCCCACCCUCCAUUAAGAGAUGUGUAACUGUUAUUCGGUAGUUGAAAAAAGAAUUAAAAAAAAUAAUAUGAAAAGGGUUUUAUAAACGAGCUUGAAGAAGAUUGACUUCAUGCUGAGAAGCCUAUAAACGAGGCUUUUAUAUCUGAAAUUAAGAUGCGUUGAGCAUAUGACUCUAAAUAUGAAAAGGGUAAGGCUAAGAGUUCCAAAUAUGGCAAGAAAGGAAUAGAAACAAGUAAUAGUGGACAUAGAACUAGCUUGGCAGUGUGGUUGCGGUUGCUUUUCAAAUAACUUUUCGUGCCGAAAUACAUGCCAAAGAUGUUUUUUCAUUUUUUAAAAAUUAUUUUUGACAUCAUCAAAACGAUCUAAAACAUACAAAACAUAUUAAAUUUUAGCAAAAUUUUUUUUUUAAUUUUACAGUAAGAAAGGAAAUAAUAUGAAUUGUUUCAAUUGUGAUAACCCUGGUCACUUUGCUCAUUGUCAUAACCCAUUUUUUGGUUAUUCCCCAAUUCACAUUUUUUUCUCUCUUAAAAAAAUAAAAUACAAAAAAAUCAAAAAAAUAUUAUAAAAAAAUAUAACAGGAUGUCGAAGCGCCCUAAAGAUGAUUAAAAAUUGGUUGAGGAGGUUAAAAAAUACAAAGAUUGAAAUUUGACGGUAUUUUGUUGACUGAUGAGAGACCUGUUGACAAAGAAAAUUCAAUUUGAAGAAGAAAAGUCAAAGAUCAGAUGUUUAUGGACUCAAUUAAAUUUUAUUGAAGGUUUAAUUGAAUUUAUGGAGGGUUUGAUUGCAAGAAAAACUGAUUUUGAUGUCAAAUUAUAAUUUUUGAGAGUUAAUUUGGUCAAAUCAGGGGCUUAAUUGCAUAAAUAUUGAAGUUUGAUGGUCAAUAGGGACUUAAUUGAAGAAAUCCAAAACCAAGGACCAAAAUGAAAAACACGCGUAAAUAGAGGGGCUGCAAUUAAACCAAAUCAAGGGCCAAAUUGAAGAAAUUAGAAGUUUAUUGAUCAAUUGAGGGUCAAAUUGCAUAAAUUCAAGAUCAAGGAUCAAAGUGAAAAAGGCGGCCAACUUCAGGGCCGCUGUUUGCUUUUUGGCAGGGAUGCAAUUGCAUUGAUUUUUAAAUCAAAAUGGCAAUUGAGGACUCAAUUGAACAAAUCACAAAUUGAAGACCAAUGUGAACUCUGACAUGUUUUUUUUGUCGCCUUUUCCUUUUAAAUAAAAUGACGUGUUUUGUCCAAAACGGCACCGUUUCAUACACUGUUCAUUAAAAAAAGAGGAAAACCCAAAACGGUGCCGUUUUGAACGGCAAUGUAGCCUUUCUUCUUCCCCUGGACACGCGAGGCAGGGGAAGAAGAAGAUUUUUCUCCCUUGCUUUGUUCAUUCCCUCUUUCUCCAAAACCACCAAAAAGACGCCGACCCGAAAUACCCCACUUGCCUAAGUUUUGACCUGUGGCCUUCCACGGGGUAAAGAAAAACAGAAAGGAUGCAUCCCCCUGGGCGGUUGCACAUUGGCCGCCCUUGCCUUUCUCUCCCCUCUGUUUUACCUAUAAAUACAGAGGGAGGGGAGCACAAGAGAGUAGAUGAGAGGGUGAAAAGACCGAAAGAAAGAAACAAAAUAAGACCCGAAGAGGAAGAAAGAAAGGAAGAACAGGAGAAGGAAAAAAAGAAGAAAAAACAGAGAGAAAACAGGGGAAGACAAAGGGGGAAGAAACCGUCGACCACCACCGACAGCAGCGCCGCCUGGAACCACCGCCACCAACGAGCACCACCGUGAACCUCCACAGCAGCCACCGCAGAUCAGUUCCCCCACCUCUCUCUUCUUCCUUCUUCCCCUUCUCUGCUCCGUGUCCUUUUGCUUUCAUUUGCAUGCAGAACGUGAGCAAUUCACGUUCUGCAGCAAAUGAAAAUAAUUAGCUGGUUACUGUGCUAUGCACAAUAACAAGCUAAUUAUAAUUUUUUGGGUCGGUGCUGGCCCAUUCUAAAAAACAACAUUAGUGAUUUUCUUGUGUUUUUUUAAUUUAUCCAUUUUGGUUAAUAUUAAUUUAUAUUUUACAUCGCAAAAAUACAAAUCCGGUAUUAAAAUACCCGGUUUUCAUCAACUUAAAAAAAAUUGAAAAAAUAUUUUUGUGCAUACGGCCAAGUGUCUCAAAGCUUAAAAGUCAUAUUGUGUUUUUCAUACACCAAAAAAAAUGUUUUAGCAUGCAUUUUGGCUUUCAUAACCAGUUUAUUAAAGUCAAGAGAACAUUGACCAAAAUAUCAAAAACAAAAAAAAAAAUUAUUUUGUGUUGUUUUAGUAUCAGGGAUUACAAAUUUAUACGUAAAAUGUAUUCUCGAUAUUAAAAAGAUAUUUUCUUUUGACAACAUACAACAAUUAGGUUUUUACCCGAUAAAAUAAGAAUUUCCUUAUAGAGGAGGACUUUUUUUAAACCGUAGACAAAUCGACAAUUAGAAACCACAACAAGACUUUAGAUUUUAUCAGACAACAAAACAAUGCAGCUUACCUUAGGUAGGGCGUAGUUGGGAUGCUAAUGCCUUCCUUUUACGCAACCAGUCUCCGUACCCGAUCUUUGAGACCAGUUAGGGUUCCUAGUGACCAGAAUACUAGGUGGCGACUCCCAUUGAAAUUUUCUACUGAUAGGAGACAAGAAUUCCUUAUUUUCACUUUUGCCAGAUAGACUUAUACAUUUUCCUUGAGAGGAUGGACAAUCAUCGCGACGCCGCACACGUGCGACACUCGUGAUUGCACUGAGCCAAAGGUAAUGUCUAACCACAAUCAUCCCUCUAACUUGUAUGUUAGCAGUUGUUUAAUGCUUGCUGAAUCUGUUUCUUUAUGGACUGUAGACUUAGGAGUAACUGACCAUAUAACAAGGGAUUAAACAACCUUUGUGGAAUUUCGUCGAAUUCCAAAGGAAAGUAGAUACAUGUACAUGAGGAAUAAUGCUUCUGCUGCUAUGCUUAGGAUCAGUACCUGCAAACUAGAUUUGCGGGACGAUCACACACUUUAUUUUCAUAAUGUACUCUACGCUUCAAAAGUUGAAAGAAAUCACUUUUUUUUUUUUGCUGAUUGAGCCAGUCAGCCAUAUAUCUUUUAGUGCUCGGAUCACAUUUCAUAUACGAUAAGAGGAACCUAAUGUUUUUCUAUAUGGUGCUUUUGACAUUGGGGUCAGUUAAAAAAAAAUAGCCUUGAUUAAAGAAACAUUAACGUCUACUAGUAAAGUCUUAAUUAAUGACUUUUCAUGAAACUUCGGCUCUAUUAGUGAAGGGGUCAUUUUUUGUUUUGUGGAAAGUUUCAGCAUUUCAUGUAAAAGUAGGGAUUGACUUUGUUAUCCAUGAGAUGAGAUGAGAUGAUUUGGGAAGCCAUCAUCCCAUUACGUAUGUAUACACAUGGAUGUAUGGUGCAUGCAGGGUCCAUGCAUGAAUGUGAGUGUAUUCUUAUGCAUGAGAGUUGCCAAUGCAGCUUUUGAAUGUUUGAAAUGGACUCCAGUUUCUGAUUUGUAACGCGACAUGGACUACUGUACGGUUAUUGGAAACAAAAAGAUGCUUUCAGCCAUUUACGGUGGCUGCUGGUUAUCAUGUGGUUGUAUUUAGCUUAGUAAAAUAUCUACUAGUACUAGGCAUAUAUAGAUUAGUGCGCUUCUGGAAAUUCAUUGAUGAAACCUUGGGCCCUUGCUUGAUAAUAGGUAACAGCAACUCCUGCAGAUGAAUUGGCUCGCCCAUUAUAUAUGGCAACUUAAAAGAACCCACCCCAUUUACGGAGGCGCAACAACAAAACCAGCAGAAUCAGCAGCAAAUAUUGGAAGACAUAGUCCAGCAAUUAAGAAACAUGUCUACCAGGAUGGAUCAGAUGGCUAAGGCCCAAGGGAAAAGGCCCAUGGGCUCCCCUCCUCAUUCUCCCACCAGGACAGACAAUGGAAUUACCAGGCAUGAAGUAGUACCACAGGAAGGAUUUCAGCAGGUUCAGCUCAAGUCAAUCAGGUUAGAGUUCCCCCGGUUCAAUGGAGAUGAUCCUAUUGGUUGGGUGUACAAAGCCAAUCAAUUCUUUAACUUUCACAAUACUCCAGCCCAACACAGAUUGUUUAUAGCCAGUUUUCACAUGGAAGGAAAGGCCAUAACAUGGUAUCUGGAACUAGAAGAAACUGGAAUUCUCACCAGUUGGGAGGCCUUCAUUAAAGCCCUCCAAAUUCGUUUUGGAACCUCAUCUUACGAUGACCCCAUGGAGGCCCUCAUAAGUAUCAAACAGGUCUCAACAGUAGAGCUCUACAAAACCCAAUUCGAGAUGCUUUCGAACCGGGUCAGGGGGCUGUCUGACUCUCACAGGCUCAGCUGCUUCCUAGGUGGAUUAAAAGAGGAGAUAAGAAUGGGAGUACGAAUGCUAAACCCUCAGAACCUAGUGGCUGCCUACGAAUUAGCAAGGAUGCAGGAGGAAAAUCUGACAAUCAUGAGGAAAUCAUGGAGACCUAGUGCCAUGGGGUUUCAAGGCCGAAACCCCACGCUAACUCAGCCCAGGGCUGAAAACAAACCAAUUCCAGUACAAAGACUCACCCCUGCACAGAUGAAGGAAAAAAGAGACAAGGGGCUUUGCUUUAAAUGUGAUGCCUCAGGAAUAGGACUCGGAGCUGUGCUAAUGCAAGAGGGCCGACCCAUCUCCUAUUUCAGCAAGAGUCUAAAGGGGAGGGAAUUAUCACUAUCCACUUAUGAGAAGGAAUUCUUGGCACUAGUUACUGCUGUUCAGAAGUGGAGGCCUUACUUAUUGGGCCAAGCCUUUAAAGUUAAGACAGACCAACAGAGUCUCAAGUAUUUAUUGGAGCAGCGGGUUGGGACACCCACACAGCAGAAAUGGUUGUCCAAAUUAAUUGGAUAUGACUUUGUGGUCGAAUUUCGAGCAGGAAGGGAAAACCUAGUAGCUGAUGCACUCUCUAGACAGGAGGAUACUACAGAAAAAGGUACACUAUGGGCUAUCUCUACCCCGAUUGUUAACUGGGCUGACCGAUUGAGGGAUAGUUAUAAAACUGAUCCAGAAAUUCAAACUAUCAUGCAACAACUAGACCAAGAGACUAUAGGUUCCUUGAAAUAUCGUCUUAGGGGAGGGAUACUAUACUACAAACACAGAGUCUACAUAAGCCAAUCCAGCCCUAUAAAAAAUGAUAUACUGAAUUAUAUUCAUGACAGUCCAACCUCAGGGCACACAGGGUUUGAGAGAACACUAAAAAGGGCAAGGAGAGAUUUCUUUUGGGUAGGGAUGAAAUCAGACAUACAAAAUUAUAUAAAACACUGUGAUGUCUAUCAAAGAGCAAAAGGAGAAAACACAAAACCCUCCGGGCUCCUACAGCCCUUGCCUAUACCCACCAGACCAUGGUCAUCCAUAUCUAUGGAUUUUAUAGAAGGGCUCCUUAAAUCUAAUCAGUACUCAGUAAUUAUGGUAGUUGUGGAUAGGCUUACCAAAUAUGCCCAUUUUAUUCCCGUAUCCCACCCCUACAGCGCGACAAAAAUCGCCAACCUGUUUUCACAAAAUGUGGUGAAGCUGCAUGGGCUCCCAAACAACAUAGUAUCCGAUCGGGAUCCUACCUUCACUAGCAAGUUUUUGGGGGAAUUAUUCCAAAUUCAAGGGGUCAAGCUACUGAUGUCCACAGCCUACCACCCCCAAACCAACGGGCAGACCGAGGCCACCAACAAAACACUGGAAGGGUAUUUGAGAUGCUAUGUAGGUGAUAACCCGAAAGAGUGGUCCAAUUGGCUAACCAUGGCUGAAUACUGUUACAAUACCAGCUACCACUCAUCCCUCAAAUCUACCCCGUUUGAAGCAACCUACGGCUACCCGCCCCCAAGUCUCACAGAUUACAUCCCCGGUUCAACCAAAAAUCAAGCAACAGAAGAACAUUUACAACACAGAACAUAGCAAAUUGCAGAAAUCAAACACAACUUAUCUCAAGCUCAGGCGAGACAGAAGAAACAAGCAGACAAAGGCAGAAAAGAAAUCCAGUUCUCAGAAGGGGAAUGGGUUUACCUCCGGCUCCAGCCAUACCGACAGUCCAGCAUGCAAAGGAAAAAAAAUGUGAAGUUAGCUUAUAAAUAUUUCGGGCCGUUCCAAAUCUUAAAAAAAGUGGGAGAAGUGGCUUACCAGCUAGAUCUUCCCAAGGAAGCCCGGAUCCAUAUCACCUUCCACGUCUCACUGUUGAAGAAAUGGGUUGGAAAGGGAAUCGUUCCUGAACCGAAGCUACCCAGUCUCGAAACCAAGCUGAAAUCUCAGCCAGAACCAGCAGAGAUAAUUGACCGAAGGAGCCAAGUCUCGAGGGGGAAGAAGAAGGAAGAGUUGCUGUUAAGAUGGGAAGGACAGCCCAAAGAAGACGCCGUUUGGGUCGAUGAAGAGUGGUUAGAAGGUUCCUACCCUCACCUUGAGGGCAAGGUUUUUUAAGGGGGAGAGAGUUGUAACAGUCCCGGCAGCGCCUAAAGGAGCAAGAUCAAGUUGAGGCCCGGGGAAGAAAUGAAGGAGGCGUAUGGGAGAAGACUUACCUGCAGCAAAGAAAGAAAGUGAGCAAGUGUAGGGUCAAGAUUAGACAAGAAGAACUUACGUGGAUGGCUGAGAUUAUGAACUCCUGCAGCUGACAGCUGGCAAAGGAGUAAAUCCCAAAUGCAAAACGGCACAGUUUGAGAGAAGAAAAGGAGUCCAAAUACGGCACAGUUUGGGAGAAGGAAAAAAGAGUCCAAAUACAACACUGAUAAAUAAAACAGCUGUCAAUUCUAUCUAUUAUCUUGUUAUUUCAAUUAACCGAGAGUUACAAUAAAAGGGAGAGGGAGGAGCAGCAGAAAGGCAGGAAAAUUGCUUUGAAGCAAAUCUCAUUCACCCAGGAGGCCCGGGCUACCUCAAAGCUGCCCAGAAAUCUAGAUUAGGGUUUAUCAAAAUUGCAUCGUUCUUUCAAUUCAAGUCUUUAAGAUAUUUCGUUUCAGUUGUUAUUUUAGUUUCCUCAAUUUCUUUUUGUUAAAACCUGUAAGGCUCAGGUCCAAGAAAAGCUAUAAUAAAAGUAAAAGAAAAAUUCCAGACAUUCUCCCUUACUUAUCAAGAUCAUUACAGUUUUGUUCUAGCAUGAAAGACAAGGUUAGAAGAUAGUGCCAAAGUAGUAAUAUUGUCAACCCAAAUGUAAGGUGUUGUAAGUAGAGAUAUAUGAAGUUCUUUGAGUAACAUUCUUAACCAGUAAAGUUCAGCUACUGUGUGUGUCAUUGAUCGAUAUUCAGCUUUGGUGCUUGAUCUUGCCACCACGGAUUAUUUCUUAGAAGUCCAAGAAAUCAGACAUGAGCCUAGAUAAAUGCAAUAUCCUGAGGUAUAUUUCUGAUCAUCUGGAUUACCAGCCCAAUCAGAGUCACAAAAACCAUUGAGUUGAAGUGAUCCCUUGUUAAACUGAAGACCAAACUGUAGUGUACCUUUGAGAUAUCUUAAAACCCUUUUGGCAACUGUAAGAUGAAUAUUUGUAGGAAAAUGAAGAAAUUGACAUAAUUGAUUGACACUGUAGGAUAUAUUAGGUCUGGUCAAUGUCAAAUACUGAAGAGCUCCCACCAUGCUUCUAUAUGCAGUAGGAUCAAUAAGAGGAUCACCUGAGAAUUUUGAGAGUUUGGCACCUGAUAUGCAUGGCGUUGGUGUAGGUUUCGCAUCAGUCAUUUUCAUGUGAUGUAGAAGAUCAAAAACAUAUUUUCCUUGGUGUAGAUGCAAGCCAUUUUCUGUCUUAGUUACAUGAAUGCCUAAGAAAUAAGAUAGUUCCCCAAGAUACUUGAUAGCAAAUUCAAAGCCGAGGUUAGAAAUAAGAGUAUCAAUGGCAGUAUCAGCAUUACUAACGACAAUAAUGUCAUCAACAUUUAUGAGCACAAAAAUACACAUGUUGCUAUGAUGGAAAGUAAAUAAAUAAGUAUCCACAGUUGAGGUAGUGAAUCCAAGUUCCAAGAGAGCCUAAGAUAGCCUUAAAAACCAAGUUCUAGGGGCCUGUUUGAGGCCAUAUAUUGAUUUAUGCAAGAGGCAUACAUGAUCAGGUAAAUUUGAGUCUUCAAAACCUUAAGGUUGCUCUAUAUACACCUCCUUUUCAAGAUACCCAUGGAGAAAAGCAUUAGAAAUAUCAAGUUGUCUAAUAGACCAAUUAUAAUGAACAGACAAAACAAGGGCUAACCGAAUAGUAGCAAGUUUAAUAACUGGACUAAAGGUCUCAGUAAAGUCAAGACCAUCAACUUGAUCAAAUCCCUUUGCCACCAACCGUGCCUUAUACCUGUCAAUAGUGCCAUCAGAUCAUUGUUUUAUUUUGAAAACCCAUUUAUUUCUCACAACUUGUUUAUGUCUUGGUCUCAGACAAAGUGACCAAGUGUUGUUAGUUAGCAAUGUAUUAUAUUAUGCAGUCAUGGCAUUCAUCCAAUCCUGGUCCCUUGCAGCUUGUUUAAAGGUUGUUGGUUAAGAUGGUAAAGUAUUAGUGAAAUGAGCUUAAAGAGGAUGUUUGGUGGGAUGAUAAAGGUGAUAAUCUAGAAAAUGCUUUGGUUUGGAAGAGUUUGUCUGAGAUCUAGUUAUAAUUUGUGAUGAAUGAGUUAGGGUAGAGGUGAGGGUUGGUUGUUGGGUAGGAGAGGCAGAAAUUGAGGGUGGCUCAAGAUUAGAGUCUGUAAAUAUAUGGUCAGGUAUAGGUGUAGUGUUGAUAUGAGAAGGGGAAGUAAAAGGUGAAGGUUCAGAAUGAAUAGUGGGUUAUUGGUUAGGACAGACAAGAGUUGUGGUUGGCUUUAGGUUAGGAUCUAGGGAUAUAUAGUCAGGUGUAGUGUUAAUUUGAUGAGGUGAGGUGAGGUAAGGUAUGAAGGUGUAGAAUGAAUUUCUGAAAUAGAUAAAUCAGUAGGCGUGUUGAUAUUGGGUGAAGUUGUGGUAGCAAGAGGAGGUAAAUAGUCAUGAUCUGAAGUGGAUGGAUUGGGAGUAGGAAAACUGGGUAAAGUAGCUAAAACAGGAGAUAGAGUGUUAGAGAUAAUACCUGAUUGUGUGGAAUUUGAAGACGGAGGAGAAUUUUGCUGCAAGGAACGAGUAUUACUGGUUGUAAUCAGUGCAUCCUAAGCAGGGAAGUUCAACUCGUCAAAGACAACAUGUCUGGAUAUAUAAACUUUGUUUGUUUAUGGAUCAAGACACCGAUACCCUUUAUGAUUAGAGCUAUAUCCAAGAAAUACACAUUUUUUUACUUCUAAAAGCAAGUUUAUGUGUAUUAUAAGACCUAAGUAAGGGAAAACAUAAACACCCAAAUGUUUUGAGUAAUGAAUAGUCUGGUUGUUUGUCUAAUGAGUGAGAUAUGGAGUUUGCUGGACAGAAAAGGUGUAGGGAGUUUGUUUAUAAGGUAAGUAGCUGUGAAGAAUGCAUCCACCCAAUAACUGAAAGCUAGAUGUAACUGAGCCAAAAGGGUAAGACCAGUGUUGGUGAUAUAUCUAUGCUUUCUUUUAGAGAUUCCAUUUUGUUCGGAAGUGUAAGGACAUGUGAAUUUAUGAAGAAUGCCAUUUUGUGAAAGGUAUUCCUAGAAAGCAGUAGAUAAAUACUCACCACCAUUGUCAGUUAAUAGUUGUUUGAUAGUGCUUGAAAAUUAGUUUUCAACUAAGCUUUUAAAACGAACAAAGCAGUUAAACACCUCUGAUUUUUGUUUCAAUGUGAACACCCAUGUAAAUCUUGAAAAAUCAUCAAUAAAUAAGACAUUGAAUUUGAAACCACUAACUAACGUGAUAAGAGAAGUUCAUACAUCUGAAUGAAUCAAUUCAAGGAGACGACUAAACCUGUUAUUGAACUCAAAGAAAAGAAGUUUAUGACUCUUAACUACCUGACAUGACUCACACAAGUUGUCGCACGUGUGCGGCGUCGCGGCGGUCACCCACCCUCCAAGAAAAAUGGAAUGAUGUAUUUCUGGCAAAAUAUAAAGAGACAAGGAAUUCUUGUCUCUUAUAAGUGAAACUUUGGAAUGGGAGUCGCCACCUAAUAUCCUGGUUACUAGGAACCCUAACUGGUCUCAGAGAUCGGGUACGGAGACUGGUUGCGUAAAUGGAAGGUAUUAGCACCCCAAAUACGCCCUACCUAAGGUAGGCUGCAUUGUUUUGUCUGAUAAAAUCUAAAGUCGUGUUGUAGUUUCUAAUUGUUGGUCUGUCUAAGGUUCAAGACAAGCCCUCCUUCAGAAGGAGGUUCUUAUCUUAAUGCGGUAAAACAUAAUCGUUUUAUUGUCUGAAAAAUAAUUAAAUAUCCGGAAUACGCAUUACGUGUAAUGUCAUACCCCAGAUACUAACAGAUAAACAAAAUAAAAUUUUUGUUUUUUUUGACAUUUUGGCCAAUGUUCUCUUGACUUUAAUAAACUGGUUAUUAAAGCCAAAAUGCAUGCUAAAACAUUGUUUUUUUUUUUUAUGUAUGAAAAACACAAUAUGAUUUUUUAGCUUUGAGACACUUGGCCAUAUGCACAAAAAUAUAUAUUUUUUUCAAUGUUUUUUGUAUUUUUUGAAAGUUUUGACGCAAACCGGGUAUUUUAAUACCGGAUUUGUAUUUUUACCAUGUAAAAUACUGCCCGAUAUUAAUAAAAAUAACAUAAAAACUACGCGAAAAAAAUAUAUAUAUAUAAAAUGCUGAAACAAAUACUUUCAAUUUUUUCUCUUGAAAUGGGUCGGAUCAGGCCCAAAUACAUGGGCUGGGCCCAGGCCGUGUGAACAAUGCCCUCCACUGUUCACAUGCUACGUGAACAGUGGAGGUGUAGCAGGAACGCAGCAGGAGAAAGAAGAAGGGGAGAAGGGCUGACCUGCGGUGGCUGCAACCGUUGGCUGUGCUACUGGAAGCGACAGGCGGCGGCGCUGGUGGCUGGUGACGCUGUUUUUCUUCUCUCUCUCUCCUCUGUUUUACGUUCUCUUUCUGCUUUUCUCUUCUUCUUCUUUUUUCAGCUUUUCCCCUCUCUUUUCCCUUCUCUCCUCUGCUCUGUAUCUCUCUCUCGGUCUUUCGGUCUCUCUCUUCCCUCUCUUCUCCGUCCUCUUUUUCUUCCCCUUCCCCUGUUUUUAUAGGCAAAAACAGGGGAGGGAGACGUGGCUGGGGCGGCCACUGUGCUACCGCCCCGAACCGCCCAAUGGGUACGUCCCCUUCCUUCUUCCACCACGUGGCAAGCAAGUGGGUUGUCGGCGUCUUUUUGAGAGAGAGCUGGCGGUGGAACAGAAGAAAAAAUCUUCUUCUUCUUCCCCUACUUCGCGUGUCCAGGGGAAGAAGAAGACAUGGGUGCCGUUCAAAACGGCACCGUUUCCAGCCUUUUUAAUAACAGUGCAUGAAACGGCGUCGUUUUUCUCCAAAACGCGCCGUUUCAUUUAAAUGGAUUUUGGCGCCAAAACGCGUCAGAUUCAAAAUCAGGCCUUCAAUUUGCGCGCAUUUUGCAUUUUGGUCCUUGGUCUUGGAUUUCUUCAAUUAAAUCCCUAUUUGGCCAUCAAACUUCAAUAUUUAUGCAAUUAAGCCCAUGAUUUGACCAAAUUAACUCUAAAAAAUUAUAAUUUGACCCCAGAACUUUAAUUUCUUCCAAUUAAAGCCAAAAUUAAAUCCAAAAUCAUUUUUUCUUGCAAUCAAACUCUCCAUAAAUUCAAUUAAACCUUCAAUAAAAUUUAAUUGAGUCCAUAAACAUCUGAUUUUGGACUUUUCUUCCUCAAAUUGAAUUUUCUUUGUCAACAGGGCUCUCACGAGUCAAUAAAAAUACUGUCAAAUUUUAAUCUUUGUAUUUUUAAACCUCCUCAACCAAUUUUUGAUCAUUUUUUAGCAUUCUGGCAUCCUUUUUUCACUGUUAUUAUUUUUUGAUAAUAUUUUCUUAAUUUUUUUUGUAUUUUAUUAUUUUUCAUGCGGGGGCCCAAAAAUGAGUUAUGACAGUUGCCCCCUCUUUACAGUGCUUACGGAGCAAGGAUUUUGCGUAGUAAGUAUUGUAAAGAUAAACAAAAUUGGUCUUCUGAAACUGGUCUUCUCAAAAUUUGGUUGACCUGAAACAUCAACCAAACCCAAAGUCCUGUAUGUGGUUGGGCUAAACUGAGAUUCCUUUCGUCAAUCUUUUUUUACCAAAACUAAAACCGUGUGAAUGGUUAGGAUAGACUGAGAUUCUUUUCGCCAAUCCCCUCUAACCAGAACCAAAAUCGUAUGUGGUUGGGCUAAACUGAGAUUCUUUUCGCCAAUCCCCUCUAACCAGAACCAAAAUCCUAUGUGGUUGGGAUAGACUGAGAUUCCUUUCGCCAAUCCCCUCUAACCAGAACCAAAAUCCUAUAUGGUUAGGAUAGACUGAGAUUCCUUUCGCCAAUCCCCUCUAACCAGAACCAAAACUCCUGUGUGGUUAGGAUAGACUAAGAUUCCUUUCGCUAAUCCCCUCUAACCAAAACCAAAAUCCUACGGGUGGUUAGGAUAGACUGAGAUUCCUUUCGCUAAUCCCCUCUAACCAAAACCAAAAUCCUACGGGUGGUUAGGAUAGACUGAGAUUCCUUUCGCCAAUCCCCUCUAACCAGAACCAAAAUCCUAUGUGGUUAGGAUAGACUGAGAUUCCUUUCGCCAAUCCCCUCUAACCAGAACCAAAAUCCUACGAGUGGUUAGGAUAGACUGAGAUUCCUUUCGCCAAUCCUCUCUAACCAGAACCAAAAUCCUGUGUGGUUAGGAUAGACUCAGAUUCCUUUCGCCAAUCCCCUCUAACCAGAACCAAAAUCCUAUGUGAGGUUAGGAUAAACUAAGAUUCCUUUCGCCAAUCCCCUCUAACCAGAACCAGAACCUAUGGGUGGUUAGGAUAGACUGAAAUUCCUUUCGCCAAUCCCCUCUAACCAGAACCAAAACUCCUGUGUGUUCAAACCCUUUGUUUUUUUGAAGAAAAAUGGUAUAUUUUCACGAGCGACCUGCCCACGUACUCACACUUACCCUGGUCUAUUUUCAUGGGUGAUCUACCCACACAUACUUAAAGUGGUCGAUUUUCAGGGGCGACCAGCCCACACACUCACGCUUUACCCUGGUUUAUUUUCAUGGGCGACCUGCCCAAGUAGAAAAAAGGAAGAGUGGUCUCAUUGUAAUGGGUGACCUACCCAGGUGAAAGAAUGAUCUCAUUGUAAUGGGUGACCUACCCAGAUAAAAAAAACAUGGAGAAUGGUUGAGUUGUAAUGGGUGACCUACCCAAAAAUGGAAAAAGGAAAGAGUGGUCGUGUUGUAAUAGGUGACCUACCCAAGUGGAAGAAUGGUCGUGUUGUAAUGGGUGACCUACCCAAAAUGGAAAAAGGAAAGAGUGGUCGUGUUGUAAUGGGUGACCUACCAAAAUAGAGGAAUGGUCGUGUUGUAACGGGUGACCUACCCAAAAUGGAAAAAGGAAAGAGUGGUCGUGUUGUAAUGGGUGACCUACCAAAAUAGAGGAAUGGUCGUGUUGUAACGGGUGACCUACCCAAAAUGGAAAAAGGAAAGAGUGGUCGUGUUGUAAUGGGUGACCUACCCAAAAUGAAGGAAUGGUCGUGUUGUAACGGGUGACCUACCCAAAAUGGAAAAAGGAAAGAGUGGUCGUGUUGUAAUGGGUGACCUACCCAAAUGGAGGAAUGGUCGUGUUGUAACGGGUGAUCUACCCAAAAUGGAAAAAGGAAACAGUGGUCUUGUUGUAAUGGGUGACCUACCCAAAUGGUGAGGGCUCAAAGGCGCACUCAAAAGGAGAUGGGGUUAGAAAACGCACUACCCAAGUGGUGAGGGCUCAAAGGCGCACUCAAAAAGAGGUCGGGUUAGAAAACGCACUACCCAAGGUGGUGAUGGUGUAACACCAAUCGGUCAAUGAAGGAAACAAUGCAAUAUGACUGAUAUGCAUGUAUACUUACCUGAGAAAUAUAGGUUCCCCAUUUCUGACGCUCAUUUGUUGGUUAUUCGAAGCCUUCCUUGCUUUUCUGUGCCGGCUCAUUCGUGUGCCAACCAUCCAUUCAAUUGUAAAUGCAGUGUUUAUCGUAGGCUAUCCACGUUGCUUUCUGCUCUCGUUGCUUACCAAAUAUGACCGUGCCCCCCAAGUGUGGUGUUGUUUGAUUCAUCAUGAAUGAGCUUAUCCAAUCAUUCAUCUCCUGAGAAAUUGUUCUCUCAUUGAUUGUGCGCAUCAUGUCAACACUCAUCAAAAGGUUUUCUAUUGUCGACCUCAUCUUUAGAUUUGCCAAACAGUUAUGAACUUGCUUCUAGUGGAACCAAUACUCUUCAAGUAUAUGUUAUCAUCAGUUUUCUUGGAAACCAUCCAGUCGUUCAGACAUGCAUCUCAUAGCUUGCAGUAAAAGGCUCAUCAUUGUAUGCUCAAUGUUCUUUUCAACAAAUUCCCCUUAGCUCAUCUAAUCAGAUUGUGAAAAGAAAUAUCUCGGCCUCAUUAAUGAUGUUGCUUUUAUCAUUUAUACUCAGGCGGUAAAGCGUGUCUUUAGCCAGAUGAUGAUAUGAAGAUGUCCUUCCAGUGCACCAUUGUCCCACAAUCAGUCUUGGUGGUGUGCAUCCUUCCGACAUUCAUUCAAAAGCAGUCAUGAUAACAUUAAUCGAUAGCCAUGCUUCAAAGAGUGACGAUUUAAAGAUAUCCGGCAGGUGCAUCUUCGUUCCACAGUCAAUCUUGGUGAUUUGCAUCUUUUCAACAUUCAUUUACAUUCAAUUGUGUUUACAUCGGUUGGUAGUCAUGCUUCCAAGGAUAAACCCAAGAUAAUGAUAUGAAGAUGUCCUUCUAGUGCAGCGUUGUUUCCAAUUGCUGUUGGAGUUCACUAGAUCAUGGAACGUUUUUUAACAAUAUUGUCUUCGGUGUGAUCUGAAUGUGCUCGUUCAAUUUUUUUUUAUCUACAUUAUCCUCCGUUCACCGAUUCUUCAUUUAGUCAUCUUUCUUUGCCCCCCAGCUAAUCUGACUACUGCUUGUUUUUCUUUUUCAGGGUCCACUGUAUUGCCCCCAGGUGGCUCAACUUUUCACGGAGUGUUGAGAAGAGUUGAUGUCAUUUCUGUCAAGGAUUUCGCAAACUCAAUCGAUGUUCUUCUUUGUCUGACAAUCUUCCUUUUGGAAUCAACUCUCACAUUUCAAAGAUCAUGUAUAUUAAAGUCUAGUUUGUUGAAAUGAAAUCAGAGAUGUCUUUGUUUGAAAAAAAUCUUUUUGAAAAAUCAAGCUUUUGGUCAAAGACCCAACAUACGAAUUUCAAAAUAUACAGUCCUUUGAUUGUAAUGUAUUUUGAAAACAGAAAGUGACUCGUUGUAAAAAAUGGCUUUUUCAUGGUUCUUUGUAUCCAUUUUAGAUUCUGCUUUUUUGGGUACAUCUUUUUGAUGGUUUGUGAUGAGGUAACCUUCUGUAUAUUUCAAAAAACAAAAAUGCUCAAGUCAAAACUUGAGGCUUUAUCAAAAAGAUUGUUUCCUUUUUUAGCAUCAAUUUUAUCAGCAUGUAUAAUAACCAAUAGCUUAAUCCAUGAAGCCACGACCCUUAUGGAAAAACUCUUUCAGUUUUGAGAGCGUCAUUUAUCGGUUCAGAUUGCUUACUUGAUCAAAAAGGGCUUUUAGAAGUACGUAAUGUAGGCUAUGGUUUAUGGCUAUGAAAGAACGGAAAUCACAGGCUCAAAAUGUGUUUAAGGGUUUCAACGACCUAGGAUCAAUCUCAACUCCUUUUCUGCCGUUGUCAUGACAUAUAACCAUGUUAACCUCAUCAGAAUUCUCUUAACAGGUGUUAUAAUGCAAAUCCAACUUUUCUUUGAUGAAUGACCAAUCUUGAUCAUUUGUUGGCAUCAGAGGCUUUAUCAUGGAUACUAAAAGUCAUGCUUAUAGCUCAGUAUUUUCUGGUGUUUGACUUUUGUUGUGUCUUCUAACUAUAACAUGAUAAAUUCCAGCACCCAUCUUCACUGCUUUGUCUGGAUGGUAAGGAAAGACUGGCAUCAGUAUUUUCUGCCCCCUAGUCUAUGUCUCCUUUUCUUUUAGCUUUGAUGAAUGACCAAUGUUGAUCAUCAGAGGUUUUAUCAUGGACACUAAAAGUCAUGCUUACAGCUCAGUGUUUUUCUGGUGUUUGACUUUUGGUGUUUGAUGUAUCUUCUAACUAUAAUAUGAUAACUUCCAGCACCCAUCUUCACUAUUUUGUCUGGAUGGUAAGGAAAAAACUAGCAUCAGAAUUUUACGCCCCCUAGUCUAUGCCUCUUUUCCUUUUACCCCUUUGUCAAUUAUUGAACUUUCGUUCUUAACCUUCCCUUUUUAUUGAUUCUAUCAAUGUCUUCCAAAUAUCUCUCGUUUGCCUCCUAGUGUGGGGUAUGAUCCUAGUCAGGUUUUCUCUUGAAAGAAAAUUAGUUUGGCUCAAAUGGGGAUUGCAAAUGAUAUAUUUCAAGACAUGUGAAAGGAUAACAAAGAUGGCCUUUUCUCAUUUCAAGCAAGAUCUGUUAGAACUGAUAAAUUUUGACCUCAUUUAGCGUAAUGCUUUGGACGUGUAAAAGUCUUGAUUCACGAGUCCAUAACUAUUGAAUCCAUUGCGUGUCAUUAUACAUAUUGCUAAAACUUAGCUAUAUGAUGUGUGGUUCAAUUUUGGGGUGUGAGCUCAAGAUUUGUUCGGUCACCUCUUGCCAUUUUAGCGAACCUCAAAUCAUUUCUGGAAUCAUAACACUUUUAAUCAUUCAUGCUUGAUUAGCCUUAAUUUUACGUGUUGGAGUUCAAUCAAAAUAUUUUUACUAAAAUAAACUUUGAAAGAAACAUCUUUUAUUUCAAGACAAUAAUAAGACUAAGAACAAAGCAUAAUCCAUUGAAAGGUGAGAUGUGAUCCCAAAACAAAAUAAGAACAAAGCAUAAUCCAUUGAAAGGUGAGAUGUGAUCCCAAAACAAAAUGAUAGACAACAAAAUUGACAACAAGACACUUCUAAAUAGCUUCUUCAUUAGUCCUCCAUGUCUUGUUGUCGCUCAUUGGUGAUGGCCUUUUGAUGAUAUGAUCGUUGAUAUCUUUCUUCACAAAAUCUGCUCGUCUCUUACUAACCAACUUUUAGGCUUAAUCUUCGAAGCUCUUGCAAUUCUUCACAUCUUCUCUGGAUUAUUCUGUUUAAAGAAUCAUGCCUUGGGGUAAUGAACUAAUGUGCUCUUUUUUCCUCGGUGGCAUAGGUGAACUGGAAUGGGAAGCAUCCAUGGAGUAGACCCUUUCCUAAUUGUAGCAUGUCAAUAUACCCAGUUUUAAAAUUGAAGAACAUCAUAGCAGAAUAAUAUUCUCCCAUCAGCAUAACAUCAGCAUUGCAAAAGGCCAAUGGACUCACAUGGGGUUCUUUCCUUGUCAAAACCCCUAUGUUUACUGAAUGCCUUUUGUUCCAGCGUUUUCUGUCAUGAUCCUUCAUGAUCCAUACUUCCACAAAAUUACUUUCUCUAUCAAUACAGGUCAUGGCGAGCUUUCCUUUGUAUUCGGUAAGUCUGAUAUCUUUGUUGUCAUUUUCCUCAGAGGCUGGGAGGGGCAGUGGGAACAAACAAUGACGCUCUCUUGUUACAUCAAAAGUAAAGACAUUUCUCUUCCAAGUGAGCCAAUGAAGUGAGCCAUUCACGGAUACUUUUGUCAUGCGAUGAAGGGAUUCUUCAUGGGGCAACCUUACUUCAUCCAACAGCUUCCAUUUCCAUGUUGCUGAUUCAAACAACUCGACUCUAAUACAGUGGUACAUAUAGAAUUCUUUAUGUGCGCGAAACUUGGGCUUUGAGAAUCUCACAAUCUUGUACCGUAAAGGUUUUGACCUUUCAAUCAUUAGGCCAAAUUCUAUAGUAUCAUAUCGUGUCUUGGGAUUCGAGAUCUUUUGACAUUGUUGGAUAGAAGGGUCGCACACAUAAUAACAAGAUUUAUUAUGUGUGUGACAAAGCAGAACCCCUUGAUUUGUUGAUGACACUAUCUCCACGUGUUCUGGAAGGAAAUCAAAGGAUAUUUGUGUAUGGGUCUUCAAAGUGUCAGUUGAAACAAAAGAAAUUUGAUAUUCGUUCCUGAUCAUGCUUUGGAUAAGGAAACCAGAGACAAUGUUGGUUCUUUGGCCGUGUAGCUUUGUGAAAAGGGAUUCGUAGGUUAACUUGUUGUACUCCUUAGACAAAAGCCUACAUUUCCCCACAGUCUCCAUUGAUGAGCGUGUCAGUACUUCAUAGAUGGCAUCUCGGCACAGGUCACUAGCUAAGUCCAUUUGACGCAGAGAAUCUUAUUACCACAAGCUGUGUCUCUGGAUUGGAAGCUUGAGCGAAUCUUCCUUGCCACUGUCAGAUGUUGGCAACUCUUGAUUCUGGAGUGGAGGACAAAAUUGGGGGACCUUUAUUUCAAACUGGGAUGAUGUAUGACAAAUGAAAUGAGCAUGUUUCUAUAUGAUGAACUCGCCCUUCGAGGGGUGACACAUGGUCGCGACUCUUGUAUGAUGAAACAAAAAUCUUGAUUCUUGCCCAAACUCUACAAUGGAAAUUUCCCGAGUAACGACCAUUAUGUCACCCGUAAGUCUUGAUUUCAAGAUGCUUCAGGAAAGGCUUGUUUUGAUGCAAAAUAAAGCGUAGGGAGCAUACACCCUAAAGGCAAGUUCUAAAAAUCUUUUAUGUUUGACAAGUGUAGGUUUGUUAUUCAGUAUCUAAAAGGGUCUCUUGUUGUCCCAGUGAUCACCCUCGUGAAGGCAAUAUAGGGGCUCAGUAGGUAAUGAGAUGGCAUAUGGACCAAUCAUUACCAGUCUAAGCACUCAGUGAAGAGUUGGGGUUUACACAAACUUAAACCUUGACUAAAAGUCAAAAGGUAAGUUGCUAGUCCCCUACUUAACCUAGAGUGUUCAAUGUAACUCGUACAAAAAUGCGAAUGAUGCAUGGAGCAAUUUUACAAUGCAUGCAAAUAUGUAUGAAAAUAAAGCGCAUGCGCAAAUAAAGAACUGCAUAUUACCAAUGACAAACAAACCCAACAAUAACACAAAAAUCAGACAAAACAAAGCUUAGUCCAUAAGGUCCCCAGUGGAGUCGCCAUUCUGUCGCACGUGUGCGGCGUCGCGGCGGUCACCCACCCUCCAGGAAAAAUGGAAUGAUGUAUUUCUGGCAAAAUAUGAAGAGACAAGGAAUUCUUGUCUCUUAUCAGUGAAACUUUGGAAUGGGAGUCGCCACCUAAUAUCCUGGUUACUAGGAACCCUAACUGGUCUCAGAGAUCGGGUACGGAGACUGGUUGCGUAAAUGGAAGGUAUUAGCACCCCAAAUACGCCCAACCUAAGGUAGGCUGCAUUGUUUUGUCUGAUAAAAUCUAAAGUCGUGUUGUGGUUUCUAAUUGUUGGUCUGUCUAAGGUUCAAGACAAGCCCUCCUUCAGAAGGAGGUUCUUAUCUUAAUGCGGUAAAACCUAACCGUUCUAUUGUUUGAAAAAUAAUUAAAUAUCCGGAAUACGCAUUACGUGUAAUGUCAUACCCCAGAUACUAACAGAUAAACAAAAUAAAAUUUUUGUUGUUUUUGACAUUUUAGCCAAUGUUCUCUUGACUUUAAUAAACUGGUUAUUAAAGCCAAAAUGCAUGCUAAAACAUUGUUUUUUUUUUUAUGUAUGAAAAACACAAUAUGAUUUUUUAGCUUUGAGACACUUGGCCGUAUGCACAAAAAUAUAUAUUUUUUUCAAUGUUUUUUGUAUUUUUUGAAAGUUUUGACGCAAACCGGGUAUUUUAAUACCGGAUUUGUAUUUUUACCAUGUAAAAUACUGCCCGAUAUUAAUAAAAAUAACAUAAAAACUACGCGAAAAAAAAAUAUAUAUAAAAUGCUGAAACAAAUACUUUCAAUUUUUUCUCUUGAAAUGGGUCGGAUCAGGCCCAAAUACAUGGGCUGGGCCGAACCUGGCCCAAAUACAUGGGCUGGGCCCAGGCCGUGUGAACAAUGCCCUCCACUGUUCACAUGCUAUGUGAACAGUGGAGGUGUAGCAGGAACGCAGCAGGAGAAAGAAGAAGGGGAGAAGGGCUGACUUGCGGUGGCUGCAACCGUUGGCUGUGCUACUGGAAGCGACAGGCGGCGGCGCUGGUGGCCGGUGACGCUGUUUUUCUUCUAUCUCUCUCCUCUGUUUUACGUUCUCUUUCUGCUUUUCUCUUCUUCUUUUUUUUUCGGCUUUUCCCCUCUCUUUUCUCUUCUCUCCUCUGCUCUGUAUCUCUCUCUCGGUCUUUCGGUCUCUCUCUUCCCUCUCUUCUCCGUCCUCUUUUCUUCCCCUUCCCCUGUUUUUAUAGGCAAAAACAGGGGAGGGAGACGUGGCUGGGGCGGCCACUGUGCUGCCGCCCCGAACCGCCCAAGGGGUACAUCCCCUUCCUUCUUCCACCACGUGGCAAGCAAGUGGGUUGUCGGCGUCUUUUUGAGAGAGAGCUGGCGGUGGAACAGAAGAAAAAAUCUUCUUCUUCUUCCCCUGCUUCGUGUGUCCUGGGGAAGAAGAAGACAUGGGUGCCGUUCAAAACGACACCGUUUCCAGCCUUUCUCUUUUUUUUUUAAUAACAGUGCAUGAAACGACGUCGUUUUUUCUCAAAACGCGUCGUUUCAUUUAAAUGGAUUUUGGCGCCAAAACGCGUCAGAUUCAAAAUCAGGCCUUCAAUUUGCGCGCGUUUUGCAUUUUGGUCCUUGGUCUUGGAUUUCUUCAAUUAAGUCCCUAUUUAGCCAUCAAACUUCAAUAUUUAUGCAAUUAAGCCCCUGAUUUGACCAAAUUAACUCUAAAAAAUUAUAAUUUGACCCCAGAACUUUAAUUUCUUCCAAUUAAAGCCAAAAUUAAAUCCAAAAUCAAUGUUUCUUGCAAUAAAACUCUCCAUAAAUUCAAUUAAACCUUUAAUAAAAUUUAAUUGAGUCCAUAAACAUCUGAUUUUGGACUUUUCUUCCUCAAAUUGAAUUUUCUUUGUCAACAGGGCUCUGACGAGUCAAUAAAAAUACUGUCAAAUUUUAAUCUUUGUAUUUUUAAACCUCCUCAACCAAUUUUUGAUCAUUUUUUAGCAUUCUGGCAUCCUUUUUUCACUGUUAUUAUUUUUUGAUAAUAUUUUCUUAAUUUUUUUUGUAUUUUAUUAUUUUUCAUGCGGGGGCCCAAAAAUGGGUUAUGACACAAGUUCUGAGAUUUUGUUUUAUCCAGAAACAGGUAUUAACGAGUUUUUCACUAAACUAGAAAUAAUGGUGUAUGACGGGUGACCCAAUCAUGAAUGUCAGACUUGAAAAGAAGCAGUAACACCUAGGAGUGAAGUAAAAGGGGAGAGCAUGGCAGCUUUGGGAGAUGACUUGUUGAAUUUGAGUUGCUGCAGGAACAUUGGAUAUAAACCAGCUUUACUUGGCCUUUGAAGGAAAAUUUCAUUGGUCUGUAGAUCCUUUAUAAAGAAAUGGGUUGUUGUAAGCAUAAAAUAAUAGUUGUUGUCAAAGCAAAAAUGUUGAAUAGAUAAUAGAUUUGAUAAAGUAGAUGGACAGUGAAGAAUAUUGGUUAAAAGAAAUUGUGAUUUAGGUGUAGCAAGCAUAGAGGAACCAAUAUUGGUGAUAUGUAAACCUCCUUCAUUGCCAACUGUUACUUUGUCAUUUCCAUGAUAUGGUUGUUGGUGCAAGGUUAAAUUCUGGAGUUCAGAGGUGAUGUGACUAUUAGCACCACUGUCAAGGUACUAUGGCUAAUCAAAUCCUUGUUCCUCUUGAGUAUGAGCUGUCAUUGCUGCCAAUUGAGCAGGGGGGAUGCCUUCCUUGAUAAGAAAAAUCCAUGUGGUGAUAACAAUCAAGAGCCUGAUGAUUUGUCUUUCCACAUAUCUAACAAGAAGGGAAUUGUUUUGGAACUCUGGUGGAUUGUGUUUUAGAGUCGGGGGCAGAAAAGAUUGGAUUAGGAUUGGAUCUUGCAUGGUGGUGAUUUUUCUGAGUGGGAAAUCUUGAUUUCUUAUUGGUUGGUUUGUGUUUUGGGGUAAAAAAGGCCAAUUGAGUAAUCUCAGAUGACUGAGAUUUGUUUUGUGCUUCAAGUAGUUGCUCAUAGUUAAAUAGUUUAGCUUGAAAAGCAUCAAAGAAGAUUGGUUGGUCUCGAGUAGCAAAGCUGAGGAAGGCGAUAAAAGGGGUGAAGAUAGGAUUUAGUCCACCAAUAAUAUAUGAGAUAAGGUCUUCAUUGUCAACUGGUUUUGCUACAGCUGAAAGUUGGUGAGACAAAUGUUUUGCUGUAAGCAAAUUAUCAGAGCAACAUUUGUUACCUUGCUGCAGAGUUUGGAGUUCUCUUUUGAGAUGAAUGAUUCUUGAACGAGAUUGAGGAGCAAAUCUGGUAUCAAGAGCAUUCCAAACCUGUGUAGAUGUAGUGAGUCCAUACACGGUGGAAAAGACUUUCUCAUCUAGGGUGGCAUUUAACCAUGCCAAAAUAAAUUGAUCCUUCUUCUGCCAAACUAGGUAUGUUGGAUUAAUAUCAUAGGUUAGUUUGCCAAUGGAGUCAACAAGGAAUUGAGAAGGACAAGCCUCAGAGCCAUCAAUAAUGCUCAAGAGGUCAUGGCUUUUCAAGGCUGGUAUGAACUGAGUUGUCCAGUUCAGGUAAUUGUGUCCUUCAAGUUUGAUAGACACUAAAGAGGUGAUAUUAGGGAUGAAAAAUGAGGGUGAUGUAAAGAAAGAGGCCAUAAUGGAUUAAGAGAAAAUGUGAGCUUUGUUUGCUCUGAUACCAAGUUAUAAGACUAAAAUAAAGUGUGGAGAAGCUAAAUGAAUGAUCAGCCUAGUAUGCAUUGUAUUUAUAGGUAGUAUACAGUUAUUUGAGUUUUCAAAGAAGAGAUAAGAACACACUGAGAUAACAAGCUAAACAUACAUCUUUAUCUUGAGAUAAUCAUGAUCUCAUAUGUUACUAACAAAGCUUAACAGAAGGUAGAGAUAAACAUGAUCUCAUCUGUUACUAACAAGACUAACAUAAGGUUUAUCACUAACAUUAUUUAUGUCUGAUGGCUUGAGUUUAGAUGUACUGUGGAUAAAUAAUCUGAUAUGAUUUUGUUGUAAAAAAAAUCAUAAUAAUAACACUAUAUCUCUAUUUAUCACAUUGAUCAAUUAUAAUCGUCAUAAAAUAUUUACUAGAGUAGUGCCCCACUGCGACUGCUCGAAAAGUAUUUGCUCUACUUAUACUCCACAAUUCAUGUGGUUGAUGUUGAAGAAAUAAUUUAUCACAAAGUUGUUAAGCAAUGUGCAACCAAGUCUCAACAUGUACAUUUUCUAAAGGUUCUCCUAACCAUUACUUCAAGACUGACACUUAAUGUUGCCACGAUCAUACAUUUUAUGUUUUCAAUUGCAUCAUAGCAAUACAUCAACACAAACUAAUAGUAAUUUCUAUGACUUGUUUUCCUAAAGGUGUUCAUCAUGGCAAGUUCUUUCAUGGUUCUCUCUUUUUCUAUGACCGAACAUUGGUGUCCAUUUUCUCCCUAGUUUGCACAUGUAAUUCGUCAUUUUUAUCACAAGUAUGUUCACAAUAACAUGUCAUAAUCACACAUCCAUUUACUUGGUAAAUAAUCAUACAAGUUCAUUCAUCACACAAACAAACUUAAGGCAUUAAUCAUGGCAUCAUUUUCGAUUCAGCUCAAGCAUUCCUUUAAGGAUUUAAUAAGAUCAUAAUUUUGCACAUUCUUUCAUUUCAUUUCACUUUCAUAAAAGUUCUUCAAUUAUAUAUGCACAAUUAAUACAUUAACUUAAACAUGAAUUUUGCUUCAGCUCAAGCAUGUUUCUAUGAGUUUAAUAAGGUUACAGUUACACAUUUUAUCACUUCAUUUCAUCUCCUUUCAUUAUCUCAACUGGCCAGUCCUUAGUUAAGGUUUGUUCAUCCAUAUGCACCCAUUUCUUUUGUUAAAGGUUCUAGAAUUAUAUCCCUUUUCAGCCCCAUUUUCUUCAAUCUUCUUGUCUAAUCUUUGCUAAUCCAUAGGUGUAAGAACCCUAAGUCUUUCCCUUGAGGUUUCCUUCUCCAUUUUGUCCCAAAAUCUUAAAGAAACAAGUAAGGAAGUGAUGUUAUUCUUACCACAUGAUUUUAAGCAGCCUUAGGGGAGGUUUUAGUUAGGUUUCUUCCUCUUUUCUCUUGGUUUCUUUUUUCUUCCUUUUAUUGUUCCAGUCGGCUCUCUAGGCUCUUUCUUCUUCCUUGUUCUUGGUUUUUUCUCCUUUCUCUAACUCUCCAUUCACUCAAAACUGAAGAGAAAUGGCAGGCAAGCUGGUUUAGUUAGGUUUUCUUCUUAUGAAGGGGUGGUUGGUGUAGCUAAGGCUGCUGCUGGUUUUGGGGGAGAGGUAGAGUCAUCUCUUUUUCUCCCUUUUGUAUUUACAUCACUCAUAAAUGUGAUGGGGUGUUUGGGGGCUAGUUAACCUUGUUCUUAUUCCUUUUUUGGUUGAUCUAGGCCUGGUUUUCUCCUUCCCCAAUUCCUCCCUAGAAUAGGCCGGUUUGUUUCCCUUAAUUCUUAACUAGCAUAGGUCGGCCUAUUACUAUUUUUUGUUGGGUUUUACAUGCCCAACAUAGAUGGAAAAUCUAUCAAAUGGAUAUCAAAUUAGCUUUUCUAAAUGGUUUUCUUGAAAAGGAGGUUUGCAUUGAGCAACCUAUGGGUUAUGAUGUGAAGUGACAUGAAGACAAGGUUUUAAAGUUAAACAAAGCCUUGUAUGGAUUAAAGCAAGCCCUAAAGGCUUGGUAUAGUCGCAUUAAUGGUUAUUUCUUAAAGGUUGGAUUUGUAUAAUUCCCAUAUAAAUAUGUUAUUUAUGUAAAGAUAAAAGAGAGUGAUGAUACUCUUAUUAUAUGCUUGUAUGUGGAUGACUUGAUCUUUACAGGAAAUGAUCCAAAGAUAUUUGGAGACUUUAAACAAGCAAUGAUUAAGGAGUUUGAGAUGAUGAAUAUUGGUUUUAUGACAUACUACUUAGGGAUUGAGAUCAAGCAAGGAAAAGAUGGAAUUUUUGUGAAUUAAAAGAAGUUUUCAAAAAAGAUUCUCAAAGAGUUCAAAAUGAAGGAUUGUGCAAGAGUACUCUAGUUGAGUGUGGAGUGAAGUUGUCAAAGAAUGAUGAAGAAGAGAAGGUAAACUUUACAAUAUUCAAGAGCCUAGUUGGGAGUUUAACAUAGUUGACAUGGACUUGUCCAAUUUGGAGUAGGACUUAUAAGCAGGUUUAUGGAUACACUAACUAUGAUAAAUUUCAAAACUUUGAAGCAAAUUCUUUAGUACAUUAAAGAUAUUGUUGAUUUUGGCAUGUUCUAUGGAUAUUCUAAUAGCUUUGAACUUAUAGGCUAUAAUGAUAGUGAUUAGGCUAAAGAUAUGGAUGAUAGAAAGAGCACUACGAGUUUUGUCUUCUACAUGGUAGAUACAACUAUAACAUCCCUUGUUCCGGGAUAAAAACAACAAUCUCAUGUCCAUCAAAAAAAAAAGUAGUUAAAUUUUUUUUUUCUAUAUCUAUUCAUGGUGUUUGUAUUAAAGUCUACCGAAAUUUCGACGGAGUCUCCCCUAUACCGAGAGGUCCCAAGUUAUUGACAUUUAACCUGUUUACACUUCUAAUAACUCGUAUCACCUAACUCAAUCCCGACCCUAUCAUCCUGGGUCUUAAUCCCAUAAACAUCAUCAUACAUAUCAAGCACAAUAUUUAUGAUAUACAUGAUAUAACAAAUAUCAUUAUGGAUGGAUAAAAAUAUAAAUACGCAUACAUGGAAUGUGGUUAUAUGAACUACAAAGUUAAGUUCAUUUAAUCAAAUUUAAACAUUAAUUAUACAAAUUAAGUUAUACAAACAUUUUCAUGUUUACAAAAUACAAGGGUAUACUCCCUAGAACCUAGAUUACAAGAAAUGAACAUAAGCUAGAAUCUACUCCUGUCGUGCAUGUGAUGGUCCUGAAACAAGAUACAUAUUAUUGAACAUGAAUAUCAUAAUAAAUAUAACAAUACAAAUAUCUAACAAUUUAUAAAGGGCAACAUGCAUUCAUAUUUUGUUCACUUCUCCCUUCUGGCUUUAAUUAGAAUCUCUUCUUGUUCAACUACUAAAAACCGUUUCCCCUCCCAUUAUCAACUUCCAUUUCCAGACUUUAUAAGAUCAAUCAUGAUUAUUUCUGCUUAACACAAUACCGAUACCAAUUUCACUGGUAUCAACAUCAUCACCCCGUAGGAGUCGAUGCAAGGUGAUCCCCUUACCUGGGAUCCUAACAUACACUAAAUGUAUGCUAGUCAAUACAUGGUUGAUCCCCUUACCCGAGAUCAUAACAUACACUAAAUGUAUGCUAGCCAAUACAUGGUGAUCCCCUUACAGGAGAUCUAACAUACACUAAAUGUAUGCUAGUCAAUACAUGGUUGAUUCCCUUACCCGGAAUCCUAACAUACACUAAAUGUAUACUAGUCCAAACAUGGCGAUCCCCUUACCCGGGAUCUUAACAUGCACUAAAUAUAUGUUAGUUCACGCCCCAAAUCACACUUCUCACAUUUCCAUUGUCAUCGAUAAUUUCAUUACUCGACAAUUCACACAACAACCAUUCACCUAAUAUCCAAUAUUCUGUAAUUCACAUAUCACAUUGGUAACAUAUUAAAUCAUGGAAUUUAACUAGAAAGUAUAGGUGCAAUUUACCUACCUGCAAUAGAAGCUCUACUUGUGCUCCCCUGUUGCUGUCGUUGCCCCAUGCUUGUGGUCCCUCUUGCAAAUCACAGGUUUAUCUCAUAAAUUUUCCUCACUCAAGGAUUUGUUUUAAAAUAACAAUAUCAACAGCCAAUAAGUCUUUAUUUCAGUCAUUUCUUAAUAUUUGAAUUGUUACUGUUUAAACCUUAAAUUGUUACUGUCUGACCUCUCCUCAGAUUUUUAACUAUAUCUAGAGUUAUAGAACUCCAUUUCAAGUGAGAUUGGUCUCGUUGGAAAGCUAAGACACGAGGCUACAAGUUCUCUGAAGAAAGGAGAACCCAGUUCUACCUCUAAGACAAUCAAAAUUGCUCAUCAACAAACAUUGGAUUGUUACUGUCUUGAGAUUGAACUGUUACUGUCCGACCUCUCCUCAGAUUUUUAAUUAUAUCUAGAGUUAUAAAACUCAAUUUCAAGCGAGAUUGGUCUCGUUGGAAAGCUAAGACACGAGGCUACAAGUUCUAGAAAGAAAGAGAACCUAGUUCUGCCUCUAAGACAGUCAAAAUUGCUCAUCAACAAACAUUGGAUUGUUACUGUCCAACUGUUACUGUCUUGAUAUUGAACUGUUACUGUCCGACCUCUCCUUAGAUUUUUAACUAUAUCUAGAGUUAUAGAACUCCAUUUCAAGCGAGAUUGGUCUUGUUGGAAAGCUAAGACACGAGGCUACAAGUUCUUUGAAGGAAGGAGAACCUAGUUCUGCCUCUAAGACAAUCAAAAUUGCUCAUCAACAAACAUUACCUACUGCCCUAUAGGGUUUGUCAUGACCCAAUCUCGGUUGGUGACCCAUAGCUGGAGUUCUAUAACUCCAAAUUGAGCAAGACUAAUUUCCUUAGUUAGUCAACAUACAUGCAUCAAUUUAUAAUCGACUUUGAAAUGACUCAUAUGACCAUGUUUAGAACACCUUACCCGGUAAGAAUCAAAGUUUCGAUCUUCAACUCCCUUCUUCUCUUUCAAAUGACAGCCGACCCUCCCCUCUUCUCUUCUUGUUCAGAUUUUCUUGUUAAUCUCUUGCCCACCAAUGUUUAUUCUAUAACCCAUAAUCUUGGAUGAGUUCUUGAAAUUUUAGUGUUUCUCUCUUGAUUUGCAAAAAUGAAUACAAAAACUCUCUUUUCUUACCUUAUGUUUGCUGUAGAUUUUUGGUGAGAAGAAGAAUAUUUAUGCUCUAUAAUUAUUCUUAUUUGCAUUUAAGCCCCAUUUUCUUUAAGUGUAUCAUUUUUGCCCCCAUAUUUUUUUUUCUUCUUAUAAUUAAGUUGUACCUCUUUUCUUUUCUUAUAAUUUCACCCCACAACUUUUAGUUUAGUUUAUUUUUUUUAAUUUAAUCCAGCCUUGAUUUUUUUCACUAAACCACUCAAACAUGAUGUUUUUGCCAAGAUGAGAGAUAUGCUAGGAGUUAAAAAUCAAGUUCAGGGGAGGAUGUUAAAAGUAAACCAAAUUUCAGUUUUUUUGAAAAAUAGAGGAACUGGUCGACUGGUUGAAUUAAAUAUAUUGGUCAACCGUUUAAGUCAAUGGAAUAUGUUUACUGUUCAAAUUAAGAUUUCUUUUAAGCAGUUUAAUUUUUUAUUUGUCUAGGACUUGAAGCCUAUAAAUAGAUUUGUAAUCAUAAGCAUAAUUUAAUAUAUGUAGAGAGGAAUACAAGAGAUGAAAAACACGUGUGUGCAUUUUAUGCAUAAUGUGAAAUACAUAAUUAGAAUGCUUAUUGAGUAAAGAUAAUUAAUAUGUAACCUUUUUUUUCCUUGAAAUACUUGUUUUCAAGUUGUAGCAUGUACCAAGUCACAUUGUGCCUUAAUGUUUUUUCUUAUUUUAUGCAGAUUGAAGGCUAAUGUUGAGGAACGUGUUGGUCUUUGCAACAACAUUAUGCUUGCAACCUAUUACGAGGAUAGCUUAAAGAUUUAUCUGAGAGUUUAGAAGUGUAGUAGCAGUUGUUUUUUAAAGUAUUUUUUGCUCGAAAAUAUAUUUAAAUAUAUUUUUUAUUUUUUAAAAAUCAUUUUUGAUAUCAGCACAUCAAAACAAUUCAAAAACAUAAAAAAAAAAGUAAUUUUAAAUAAUGUUUUUUUUUAAAUUUACUAAAUUCUAUUUAGAACACAUACCAAACGGAUACACGAGUCAUUGAAAAAACUUGUCAUCUUGCGUAGAGAGGAGGGUACAUAUUCAGACAUCAUUGACACCCAUAUAAAUUUUUUUUUCCAACACUAGUUUCCAGACAAAUGUUUUUAGGUUUACUUUUAACACGCAACUCGCUAGCUCUGCUACCAAUUCAGGAUUUUUAAUUAGUAAGAUUUUAUUAUCACACUUUUAUUUGGCACUGGUUUGGUUACGAGGACUAAAAAAUAUGAAUGAGGAUAAGGUCUUUACUCCCAUUUUCAAUGAGGUUGAGAGUGGUACUAUGAUUGAAAGGGGAAUGUAAGUUAAAUUGUAUUACCUUGAAAGAUGAUCAAUGUUUACCUCUCUUCUGCUACCAUCGCCAUUGUUUUCAACAGGUUGUCAACGUGUGCUUGUGUUUUUUGUAAUUGUGCUUACAGAGAGAUCAGUUAACCUUUGGAGGUCACGUAACAGAUGGUGAGCAAACCGCCAUUUUAGCAAGGGAAAGCUAGCAUCAGAUAUAGCUACAGGAAACUUUUAUUUAUUUGUUUGUUUAUUUAUUACUAUUUGAAGGUCCCCCCAUAUGCAUCCCAAGGAGUACAAUGGUUUGGAUGAUGCACCCUAGUCCUUAAUGAAUGAUCAGAUCUCCUUGAAACAUCGACCGAGGUCAAGGGUGGAGCCAUGUUGAAGGCUUGGGUGUGCUAUAGCCCAUGUCAAGAUUUUAAUCCAUUAAUAUAUUAAAAUAUUGAUAAAGGCUUAGGCGUAAUAGAUUUACUAUUGAAGGCUUGGGUGCAAUAGAUGAUCAUGCCAUAUAUUGAUAGAUUAAAAUGAAAGGGGAGAGCUCUCAGCAUUUUUUCCCGGCUGUGAGCCUGGUUUGUAGCAGAGGAGUGAGAAGCUCUGGUUUGUAGUGAGAGAAAGGACUCGCGUUCAGUUGUGAGCAUUCGUUUCAUCUCACUAUACAACAUUUUCUUCUCCUGACCUCUGUCCUCUUCACGGCUCUUCUUUGGUUAACACCACUGGACUCCUUCUCAGCGUUGUUCGCCCUGUGUGAGCGGUGUGUUUUUCUGGCACGAUGUAAGUGUAUUCUCUUGAUAAUCAUGGGUUUGUGUGAGGUCCUUUGAAUUGCAGGCAUAACUUAUGAGAAAAUCUAAGAAGAAAUCAUUGUUGCUUCGUGAUGCCCAGUCGGAUGGUCCUUGUCUCACACCACGACCAUCCCCUGCUGACAAUCGCAACUCUCGAUCUCAUCUUGGGGGCUCCCCCAUAUCAACCCUUGUUUUUCCAAAAAAGGCUCUAGGGGGUUUUUCUCCUCAUCCUCAUGUUUCUCAGGUACCAGUCACUAACGAGGUUUCUUUCACUGAAACCCUAGAUUAUAUGAACAAUGUUGUUCCUGGGUCCUCUUCUGUGGUCGGGGUAGAAAGGCAAGCUUUGGAUGGUUGUCCUGGGUCACUCGCAGGACACAACAUGAAUGUUUCCCAACAGGCUCUUGUUGUUGCUGGUCCCCAACCAUCCUCAUCAAGUUUUCGGUUGCCACUGGCUGGUGGAGUCAAUGGGCAUUCUUCUGGCGUUGUUCCCCCUGAUGGUUCUGGACAGGGUCCGCCCCCCUCCAGCUCCCCCCCCCCAGGUAUUGCUUUAUCUAUUGUUGAUGAAGAUUGCCCUAGGGUCACUACAUUGCCCACCACUGCCUUUGGCCCUGACCUUACUCAUGUUUGUUAAUUUCAUAAUUCUGAUGUAUGUUCUCUGUUACCUGAAGAUUUUGGUGAACUUAGAGACAUCUGGAAAUUGUGUUUAAUUGGAUAUUCAAUUAGUAAAACUCCUGGUUAUACUAUUCUUGGGAAAUUCAUGGCAAAUGUAUGGAAAUGCAAUGCCACUCUACACAUCCAUGAUUCAGGCUGGCUGGUCUUCAACUUCUCUUCUGAAGCUGAUAUGGGCAAAGUGCUUCGCAGAGGCCCUUACUUUGUUCAUGGUAAACCACUAGUACUUAAGCCGAUGCCUCUUUACUUUGAUUUUGGCAAACCAGAUAUGUCGUCUGUUUCGGUCUAGGUUCGUCUCCCAAACCUUCCACUGGAAUGCUAGUCACUGGUGUGCUUGUCAAAGAUUAGCAGUGUUAUUGGCAAACCUAUUCGAUGUGAUGACCUCACUCUCUCCAUGUCUCGGGUGUCCUUUGCCAGAGUCAUGAUAGAAGUGGAUCUGUUUGUAGACUUGCCUCGUUCUAUCAGCCUCUCCAUGCCAGAUGGAACUAUUAUUAAGCAAAGGGUCAUCUAUAAAUACAAGCCACGAUUCUGCUCCAUUUGUUGUAUGCCUGGCCAUACCAGCAAUGUAUGUCAGAAGCUUAACUCUAGCGCUGAGGAUACUUCUGCUUCUGGGAUGAUAAAGCGACCAUCUGCCUCUCCCCCUAGUUCUUCUGCUGAAGAUAUUGGUCAGCCCACAGGGGACCGAUGGCCCAAUCCUGUAGGGGUGGUAUCUGAGAGUCGAGAAGCUAUUCAGGGAGGGGGGUGAAGCCCAAGCUAUCUCCUCAACAUGAUACAUCACCCCAGCAUGAAUAUAAUGUUAUUGGUUCCUUUGAACCAGCUGGAAUUCUCGCUUGAAGACAGCUAGUCAUCCACCUAUUGCUGGUACUUAUUGUAGCUAAUCUGUGUUUUGUUCCUAUAAUGUGGUUCUGGGUUGAUGAGCUUGGAUGUCUGGCUUGAAUUGGAUAUUGGUUAAUUGUUCUGGUUUUGGAGCUUCUAGUAAUCUGUUUGUUCUAAUGCUUCUCUGCUUGUAGAGGCAUUCUGUUAUGCCAAGUCCUUGGUUGGUGUGGUUUCUGCAAUGGUCUUUGAAGGUGUGUUGGUUGAGUUCUUCUUUAGCCUGGGUUGCUGCAAGGUGUAUGCUGGUGUGUCAGCCUCUUCCUGGUGGUUGUUGGUGCUAUUCGGGCUGUUUCUUGGUGUUUGGCCGUGCUGGCAUUUUAGGGUCUCUAGUUGCAGUUUAUGCUCUGCUAUGGUUUAGGUUGUUUAUGAUGGGAUUUAUGUCUCCAAGGAGUUUGUUCCUUGUUUUCGUAUAUGUCUUCUCUAUUUGCAGGUUACACUCUACUAUGGUUUAGGUUGUUUAUUUUGGGAUUUAUGUCUCCAAGGAAUUUGUUCCAUGUUUUUGUAUAUGCUUAUACAGUUGACCUGCUGGUUUCCAGCGCUGUUUCAUUUUGAUAUAUUAAUACACUUAUAUUUUGAUAAAAAAAAUAAAAAAAAGAAAGGGAAGCUCUUAGCAUAUUUUAUGACGAUUUACAUUGAACAAGAGCUUGCUUAAGAUAUCUGUAAACCCUCUAGGCAAAAAUCAUAAAAUUAACUAGUUUUAUAUAAAAAUAAAUUUGUAAUUCUCGAUCGGGUUAUCAGAAAAUUUACGUGGAGCCUUCUAAUAUGAUACUUUAGCUUGGGUUAAAAUUUCAGAAUUUUUGGAGAAAUUCAGAAAUUUGAUUAAAAUCACAAUUUGACCAGUUUUAUGUUAUUGAGCAUAAUUUUCAAUCUGACCAUCAGAUUGAGCUGAAAUUUGAUGAGAAACCUUAAAAUAUAUUGAAUAAAAUCUAGUUAAAAUUUUAGGACAAACGGAGCUUGGUAGUGCUAACAAAAAAAAUAAGGAUCGUUAAAUAGAAGCAAAAAGACUCAUUAAGGGUAAAAUGAUUAUUUUCCCUUAAAAAAUAAACAAAUCAGUUCUUACUUCCUUUUAUAUGUUGCCAACUGGGCAAAAGCAGAAUUGAAAAAGAAAAAAAAGAAAAGGCGAGAGAGAAAAGAAAAGGAAAAACAUAUAAAAAAAUCCAAAUAAAAAAAGUGAAAGAAUAACCUUGUAAACUUACAAAAUCCAACAUAUAAAACACUAAUUUAAAGAAAAAUCAAGUGAAGGAAAGAGGAAUUAAGAGAAAUAAAAAAUUUAAUUACUUUGUUUUCCAGUUAACAUGAUACUGUUAUUUUAUCCCGGUUGAAGGGUUAUUAUAAUAUCAAUUCAAAUUUGAUUAUAGAUAAAUUAUAUUUCACAAAAUAUCAAAGAAUAUAACUUUAAUUAUGGGUUUUAUUUUGACUUUCACCUUAAUUUUAUAUACUUUUAAAUUUAUUUUUUAAUAUUUUAAAUAAUGUAUUUAAAUUAAAACUUUAUUUUUAACUUUAUAAAUUCUUGUAUAAUUAAUAUUGAAAAUACAAUUUUUAUAUUUUUUUAGUAAUCUAUCGUCCUGGACCGAGGUUGUGCUUCAAGUGCCAAUUUACUAUGUUUUGAAAUCAUUAGAGCAAAUAAGUAAUCCAGAUACACAUUCUACAAAAUUCUUCAAAAUUAUUUAUUAUCUUUCACAGGAUAUUGCGCUUGGCAAAACCUUUUAAGGUGGUCUACAUGAUUGUUCCUGCUGUUGCAAAGGAGGCUAAAACGAUCAUUUGAAUGCAACAAAGCCUCUCUGCCUUUUAAGGUUGUUUUUUAGGAUAAUAAUAGCAUCACAAGUUAAUGAAACUUUGUGAAGAAUUAAGAGCAUGGCAUGCUGCAAUGCUACACAGAAGGGUUUAUGUUGUGGCUGCUAACUAUAUGGUUUUUCUCCUUCAUGUUUCCACCAGUAAUGAAAAUGCAUGGAGAUCUCCUUGAAACAUCGACCGAUGUUGUGUUUCAAGUGCCAAUUUACCAUGUUUUGAAAUCAUUAGAGCAAAAAUAUGAUAGCCAAGAACUCGAUUUAGAACCUUAUAGCAACUAAAUUUGGAUCGUUUUCUUCUCCUCUGUUUUGUUGCUCUUAUUUGCAACAGGCGACUGGAAGCUUUAAACUUACAAAACAGCAUGUGCACUUCAUAUGCAUGGGAAAGACUUCAGGCAUAUUACAAAGGCUUACGCUACCUUACAAAAGGAAAGUGAUAGGGACUUGUUGAAGUUUUCUGAAACAGCAUAAAGAGCAAUCCAUCGAGCUACACUUGCAAUUCCAAGGAAGAAGAGAGCAACAUUCCUUUCAAGCUGGCAAUCCCUACAUUAUCUCAGUCCAAACAUAGCUGGGAUACUACUCCAGUAGUUAGUUAUACCUGAAUGGCUAUUCAAAGCUAGACACAGAUCGGGGGUUUAAUUUGCCACACACAGUUGGCAUCAAAAGACCUAGUAUUAGGGACACAAUAAACAUAGUAUAAACUAACCCCCAGGUGAUCUGUCUCUUCAAAAUACAAAACAGGGACAAUCCAUCUAUUCUAUGAUCCAUCUACCCUUGCGAAGGAAUUCCCAGUACCUAGUCAACAUGUGAUCCUCUGGCACCACCCUGUCCCACCUCCCUGUGCAGAAUAUUGCAUAUGCAUCAGCGGCAUACCUGAACAAUCAGACAAGAAAUUCAAAUGAGCCAGAUCAGUUUGGAAAAACCAUCAAUGCAAAUAGCUAUAGGAGACAGCGAAGUGAACAGAAAUUUCCCUACUUUCCAACACCAGGCAGAAAGGUGACAUGGGUCCAGUCCUCUUGCAAGUAAAUCUCAGAAAGGCGUUUUAUCUUCUCAGCCCUCGUGUUUUUGAAACCUAAACUGCGUGUUAGCUGGGCAAUCUCGUUCUGGUCAACAUUAGUGGUGGUCUUUGCAUCAGGACAUAGGGU